ACCAUGCAGUCGACGGCGCGCGGGGCACCUGGCGGCGAGUGGCGAACGGGUGAGUAAUAUAUCGGAACGUACCCUGGAGUGGGGGAUAACGUAGCGAAAGUUACGCUAAUACCGCAUACGAUCUAAGGAUGAAAGUGGGGGAUCCCAAGACCUCAUGCUCCUGGAGCGGCCGAUAUCUGAUUAUCUAGUUGGUGGGGUAAAGGCCUACCAAGGCGUCUAUAACUAGCUGGGCUCAGAGGAGAACAACCCACACUCUAACUCAGACACGCUCCCCACUCCUCCAGGAGGCGGCACUGGGGAAUUUUGUACAAUGGGCGAAAGCCUGAUCCUCCAAUGCCCCGUGAGUGAAAAAAGCGUUCUGGUUGUAAAGCUCUUUUGUCAGGGAAAAAACGGUGGGUUCUAAUACAGCCUGCUAAUGACGGUACCUGAAGAAAAUACACCGGCUAACUACGUGCCAGCAGCCGCGCUAAUACGUAGGGUGCGAGCGUUAAUCGCAAUUACUGGGCGUAAAGCGUGCGCAGGCGGUUUUGUAAGUCUGUCGUGAAAUCCCCGGGCUCUACCUGGGAAUGGCGAUGGAGACUGUGAGGCUAGAGUUUGUCAGAGAGGGGUAGAAUUCUUCGUGUAUCAGUGAAAUGCGUAGAUAUGUGGAGGAACACCGAUGGCGAAAGCAGCCCCCUGUGUCAAGACUGACGCUCAUGCACGAAAGCGUGGGGAGCAAACAGGAUUAGAUACCCUGGUAGUCCACGCCCUAAAAAUGUCUACUAGUUGUCGGGUCUUAUUGACUUGGUACGCACCUAACGCGUGAAUAUACCCCUGGGGAGAAGUCGCAGAUAUAACUCACGGAUUGACUGGGACCGCACAACGGGGAUGAGUGUAUAAUUUAUGCACGCGAAAAACUUCCUACCCUGAGAGGCUCGAUCCCCAGAGAUAGGGAGUGUCGAAGAGA
rnacentral:rRNA from 1 species